rnacentral:rRNA from 1 species
AUGUACAACUACAUUGCUCGCGAGGCUAAGCUGAGGACAGAAUCCUACUUGGCCAAGAUAAGGCAUUACUGGUGGACGUCCACCGAGGCUCACAGGAGCGGUGCCGGUGUCGGUGCUUGUGCCAAAAAAGAGGAGGCCACUUCCAGCUUGGAGGAUGACGACCAAGGAGGAAGGUUGUACGUGGCUGUAAGGAGGGGUGAAGAGGAUGGCAGUGGCAGAGGAAGGAAGCUGUAUGUGGCCAUCAGAAAGGAUGAAGAGGAUGGCAGGUCCAACCUCCUGUGGGCCUCCCGGAACCUCCUCGCUAGCGGCGACAAGCUCAUCCUGCUGCACGUCCACAAGCCUGCCAACAAAAUUAUGAUUGUAAUUAUAUGGGGCAUGCUAUUUUUCGGCCGGAUGAUAAACCUAGAAGAUUGA